rnacentral:rRNA from 1 species
AGCUCCAAUAGCGUAUAUUAAAGUUGUUGCAGUUAAAAAGCUCGUAGUUGGAUUUCUGGCAGGAGCGACCGGUCGCACACUAUGUGUGUGAACUUGCGUUGUCUCUGGCCAUCCUUGGGGAGAUCCCGUUUGGCAUUAAGUUGUCGGGCGGGGGAUACCCAUCGUUUACUGUGAAAAAAUUAGAGUGUUUAAAGCAGGCUUAUGCCGUUGAAUAUAUUAGCAUGGAAUAAUAAGAUAGGACUUCGGAACUAUUUUGUUGGUUUGCGUUACGAAGUAAUGAUUAAUAGGGACAGUUGGGGGUAUUCGUAUUUCGUUGUCAGAGGUGAAAUUCUUGGAUUUCCGAAAGACGAACUACUGCGAAAGCAUUUACCAAGGAUGUUUUCAUUA